CCCGAGGCCGGGGCGCAUCCUAUUGGUGCGGAGAGCCAUCGAUCGGCGGGGAGUAGAGGGGAGCGGCCUAGAGAGGCCGGAAGCCCGAGCCCUCCUCCGAUGCAGCUCAUCUGUUGGCCGAAGGACCUACCCUUCUCUGUGUCUCCUGCUUCCUGGCCCUCUGCCAUGUAGCCCCUUCCCUGCCGCUGCGUGAGAUGGUCCCGCCAGCUCCACCACGAGCUGCUCCCACCCUGAUCUACUUCUUCCCACCCCGAAGCUGAUUCCUACUCCUCCUUCGAAGCUGAGCUUGGUAUCCCUGCCCUGUGUCCUCCGCCAGUGCCCUGUGGCCCCUGAAUGGACAGCACGUCCUAACACAUCACAGAGCCCUCCUUUCAUUUCUGGGCACCGUAGGCUGCUGGGGAGGGGACAGGUCUCUGGCUUCCAGUCCCUCGUGUGUCCAGUGGCAGCAGCCUGCAGAUGCCCUUAAACACUCAAGGACCAGAUGGUCACUAACACUCAUGUGGGCAAGGAUGGAGCCUUCGCUCAUAAUCUCUAAUGCACUUACCAGGCGAGAGUCUGUUCUUCCAGCACAAAAAAGUAUUAAAAGGUACUUUUCAAAGAA